rnacentral:ncRNA from 1 species
ACAAUGAUACUUCCGCAGCCAUAUGGCGCGGCCCGCGGAGUACCCGGGGGCAGAGAGAUUCUGAUGA